AAGCAUCGACGCCACGACGCCAGGAAGC
rnacentral:sRNA from 1 species